CGGGGGACAGGGUGACAGGUGGUGCAUGGUUGUCGUCAGCUCGUGUCGUGAGAUGUUGGGUUAAGUCCCGCAACGAGCGCAACCCUCGACCUUAGUUGCCAGCAUUCAGUUGGGCACUCUAAGGUGACUGCGGCUAAAAGUCGGAGGAAGUGGGGAUGACGUCAAAUCAUCAUGCCCCUUAUGACCUGGGCUACACACGUGCUACAAUGGGCGGUACAAAGGGUCGCGAACCCGCGAGGGGGAGCCAAUCCCAAAAAGCCGCUACUCAGUUCGGAUUGCAGGCUGCAACUCGCCUGCAUGAAGCCGGAAUCGCUAGUAAUCGCGGAUCAGCAUGCCGCGGUGAAUACGUUCCCGGGCCUU
rnacentral:rRNA from 1 species